rnacentral:rRNA from 1 species
GGUAUGAAUGGCUAAACGAGAAAUAGACUUUUUUUGUUAUAUAAAUUGAAUUUAAUUUUUCAGUGAAAAAGCUGAAAUUUCUUAGAAAGACGAGAAGACCCUAUAGAGUUUUAUGGUUUAAAAUUAUAAUUUAAAGUUGAUUUUUAUUAAAUUAUAAUUUUUCGUCAUUUUGUUGGGGCGACAUUAAGAUAUAAAAAACUCUUUAUUUUUUGAAUUUUUAUGGAAAGUUUUAUUGAUCCUUUAAAAGAGAUUAAAAGAUAAAAUUACCUUAGGGAUAACAGCGUAAUCUUUUUUGAGAGUUCUAAUCGACAAGAAGGUUUGCGACCU